GGGUCGUUGUGUUGCCCAAGCUGGUCUUGAACUCCCAGGCUCAAGCAGUCUUCCUGCCUUGGCCUCAUGCCCCCGCCAACCAGUUCUUUAUUUUUAAUAUUAUGUUGUAUUUGAUGUGCUAUCCUAUUCAUUUAGUAUAAGCACAUUUUUCUUUGUCUUCAGCAUAAUUAUGUGCUUUUUCAGAAUUUUAACAUCAGGACUGCUUCCAGGUUAGCUUUAUUGCCCUUUGUCUUAAGUAUGGGUUAUAGUUUUCAUUCCUUGUAUGUCAAGUAAUUUUGGAUUAUAACUUGAACUUUGAAUAUAUUGUAGAAGCUCUGAAUUCUAUUUUAUUCUUCUAAAACAGUAUUUCUCAGCUUCAGCACUAUUGACAUUUUGAACUGGGUUAUUUUGUGUUGUUGUGUGUGUUUUGGGAGGGUACUGUUCUGUAUGCAUUGUGGGGUACUGAGUAUUAUCCUUUGUCUCCACUCACUACUUGCCAGUAGCAUAACUCUUUCUCCUCCCCGCAUCCCCUGCCAAAAAAUGCCUUCAGUCCUUUCUAAGCGCCCUUUUUUAUGGUGUUGGGGCCAAAAUCAUGCAUCCUUAUUCUUUCUCAUUGAGAGCUAUGGCUGUAGAGGGUAGUGAUACUUUUUUUAAUUUAUUUUUAAGGCAAGCAGUUAACUUACCUGGAUUCAAACUCCAGGCUGCCUUGUGUGCUGUGGGAAGCAGCCUACACUCUAUUCAGUUUUCUUUUCAUGUUGGUUGGGUUACUUUGAGUCUGGCCUACAUGAUGGGCAGUUUAGAGGUCAACCAAAGGAUUUCAGCAGAACUUACACACACAAUUUCAUUCAGGCUUCCCAUGUCUGAUUCUCCACAGUGUGGGAAUUUCCUCCCACUUUUCAGCUACUAUUGAGGAUGCCUUUCGGCAAAAUUCCUUGAAAUUGGAAACUUACAGGGAAAUUCCUUUCCUCCAAGAGUGCACUCUCCUCCAGUGUUGGCUUGCUUUUGGUUGUUCUCCGUGGUUUUAGAUAGCUGUCUUUAUAUUAAUUCUGGAGUUUACAGUUGAUAUCUGUUGGGGGCUUAGUUUGAUAACACAUAUUCCUCUGUUACUAGUAGCCAGACCUGUAUGUCAUACUUGACCUGAUGGAGAAAAGUUUCAACUUCUGAGACAAUAAUGUGCUAGCUAGUUUUACUGAUUCGUACUCUAAAGUACCCAAGCCUAAAAUAGUAGAGCUGUCUAUCCCACAUGAAACUUCCCUGAUUUUCACUGUUUUUUUAUAAAAAGUAUACAUGUUCAGAUUUCUGUAGGUUUUUUUUAAGCAUCACCGUUUUUAUAAACUUUCUAUAUUUCCAAGGUCUACCUGCUUUGUAUUUUGCCUAGAGAGAGUUUUGUAUUCAUGUAGGAAUAAUCUCUUGGUGUGAGUAUCUAUUUUCCACUCAUCCAAAACAGAUAGAGCAUUGAUUUCACUAAGCGUUAUGUUCUAGUUUGCUUUGGUAUUAUUAUUAGAAAUACCUAGUGAUUAAUUUAAGCUAACUAUUCUUCUCUACCCUCAUUCCCAGCAUUAUCACCCGCUUUUACCACUUCCAAGGGGUGGAAGCAUUCUCCACAAUGCAUUUAUUCAUGCCAGAGAAAAAUCUAGAAAAAAUUGAGUAAAACGAAGAAAUUCUUUCCCCUUGGUAUCUGUAGCUAACUUGCCUAAGUGUUCUUUCCCACAGUUCAAGUCUUCAGUCCAUAGUUCAUAAGCAAAGGGGUGUAGCGAGCUCUGAUCUUGCCAGAAGAGAGAAUAAGUGAGCUACCCCGUGGUAGACGUUCUGGCCAUCUGAAAUGAGUCGAUGCAUGUGGCUUUUGUCUAAAGGCUACAAAUAAAAUGUGACCACUUUCUUCUUUGAGUAGUUGAUAUAGCAAAUAGUUGAAACAAGUUUUGAUUGGCAAAUCAGGAUAUGGUAGAUACUUUAACAAAGAGUAGAACUAUUACCAGUUUUAUGUGUUGCUGUUUGUAUCUCUUUCACAGUUUUGAUAAUAUCACAUCCUGGAAAGUGAAACAGAAAAUUAUUAUUCCAUUUUAAAUGACUAAAUUUGCUUUCAUGGUAUUUACAGUGAAAGAGUAAAUUAGAAAGUGAAUGGAUGACUGUUAAUGAGAAAAAGCAGGGUAAAAAGAUUUUAUUUAAUUAAUUGAAAAUAUUAGGGUCAAAACAUAGGCUUAUGUUAUGUUUUGUGAAUUGUGCUGUGUUGUAGACAUUUGAUGAGUUCUCCUAACAUAGAACUGAUCUAGCUCUUGAAAUACCAUUUUUGAUUGAAUAUAAAUGGGAUAUAGGCACCUUACAACUUCUGAAUUCGAGGAAGAUGAUGUGAAUCUUCCAAUUUUAUCUAUUUGAUUCAAGUGGUAUGUUUUUUUUCACAUUUCUCAUAAUUUCCACAUUUCAACUCCCAUGAUGAUCAUGCAGGAAAGGGGCAUGAUUGCACUUCUUGUAGUGCAUACCAUCACUAAAACAUAGUUACUGUCUUUCUAUGGUCCUAAGAAAAAUUCAGAAACAGCAUACCAAUGUACAUAUAAGAUAAAUAAGCUUAUGUGGAACAAUAAGUGUUCUGUUCUGAGAAAUACCUUGAUUCAUAUCCUAAUGUCUGAUGUUAUUGGUAGUUCUCAAACUUCCCCAAUUCUGCUUUCAUCUAAAUUCAUCUUAUCUAUCUAUUGUUAAAUAAUCUGUCAGUCCAUUUUUAUCUAUCAUCUAUAUAUCUGUCUUUAUCAAUCAUUUGUCUGUAAUCUAUCUGUGCCGUUUGGCGUAAGAGACAGAAGGGCAUAGCAGUGGAAACUCAAAGGAGUUACCUCCAUGUAAAUGAACAGUGGUGAUGGUGAUCUGUGAGGUGGUGAUGUAUAGAAAGAAAAACUAGAAGAGAGCAUGCCCUAACUCAGGGACCUUGUCCAGCAGGCACUCUGGCCUUGUUAUACUGUGCUUGAAUAUGAAAAAAAAAUCAAAAUAGUGCUGACAUUCUGUAUCUUCUGGGUCUGAGAAAACUUAGAGUAGAUAUGAUGACUCUGCCAUUUCAGUCUUUUGUACUUCCACAUUUUAAAGCUCAGUUUUAAUUAUGUAGAAUUAUUUCUCUAGCCUGUGUUAAACUAGACCAUGGAUUGGCAAACUUUUUUUGUAAAUUGCCAAAUACACACUUUCAGUUCUCAAAGCCUUGUGGUCUUUGUUGCAGCUAAUCUACUCUGCUGUUGUGUUAUGAAAGCAGCCAUAGGUAAUUUAUAAUUGAAUGAGCUCGCUGUGCCUUUCUUCCAAUAAAACUUUACAAAAGCAUCCUGUGGGCUGGAGUUUACCCUUUGGGAAACCAGAGCAUUGGCUAAACUGGAACCUGAAGAAAUAAUCACAUCAACUCAGCCACAUGGUAAUAAUAUUUAGAGUCUUAUUUCAACAUUUUCAUUGUCAUAAAUUUUUUUAGCUCUUUUGCCAAAUUCCUUUUGUGAGUGAAACAAAUGACUACCACGUGCCAUUAACAUCAUCACCUAAACAGUGUAAAACAAGCAUAGUAGAAGGAAUUGGAAUGAUAUAAACCCCUUGCUAUAAUAGUUAUAGUUGAUAAAUUAUGCUUCAAAAUUGAACCUAUUUCUUCCAAAUUUAAUCUAUAAAGUUCCAAGGAAUUCCAGAAUCUUGCCUGCUGCCUUUUCCCAGUUAGCAGUAUUGUCUCUGAGCAGCCAUGGUGGUAUCCAACCUCCUUGGACAAUGAAUUUAGCCUAUUUUGACUUCAUUUGAGCAGUUGUAAUUGUCUCACCACAUCAGAGUAAGAUUACUACAUGCCAGAGCUAUUCUUUAACUCAGCUUAUAAAAACAUUAUAGCAUCAACAAUAUACGUAGCAAAUGAAUGCCAUCUUUAAUCCAAUUAAAUGGUUUUUACAAAUUUGCUCUUGUUUGUUGAUGCUAUCUGCACUGCAGUAAUUAAAGGUGAGGUAAAAAGAAUGAAUAAACUGCCAAGUUAAAAUUAAAUUUGGGCAAUUUCUCUUUUGCAGUAAUGUAUGUAUAUUUACUCAAAACAUAAUAUGCCAAAUUUAGUGUUGAAAGGCUCGUUCAAAUCAAUUGGGAAAGCACGUAAAUGAACAAUUCAUAAAAGAAAAGCAUUGCAAAUGGCCAAGAGCAUAGAAAAUGUGCUCAAUCUUAUCAGUCAUUAAAAGGAAAUAACGAAAUUUGUGUAUAUAUGAAAUACUUAAAAUAUAUAUAAAAUAAAACAGUUAUUUGCCUUUUUUCACCUAUCAGAUUAACAGAUUAUAUGUGUUACAAGUUGGGGAUAAUUUACAACUCCUGAUGUGUUAAAAUCUUUCAGGAAGGUAGUAGAAAAUAUAUAUAAGAUGGAAAUUAGCACUUUUGACCAACAAUUUUACUGUUAGAUACUUACCUAUAAGGAUAUAAUAGGAGGUGUUCAAAGAUGCAUGUAACCUUAAGGGUACUCAAUGUAGUGUUAAUUAUAAUUGUGAAAUAGUAAAUAACAUUUUUGUCAAAUCAUGUUAGGAACAUUAGUGAUGGCACAUUUAACCAAUUGAAUUAUAUUCAGUUACGAAUACCGUGAUGCAUGUUCAAAUUAAUUGAUACAAAAAUCCAACAACUUCAGCAGUUUGUUUACCAGUUAUUGAAUACCAGCUGUGUUCAACAUUGUUAUUUCAUUCAUAUGAAAUGAUAAAUGUAUGUGCUUGUUAUACGUAACGUCAAUAAAACCAGUUUUAUAGGAAGAAUACUCACAAAGCGAGUUCUGGUCAUUAUUUUACUGUUUCAUUUGUGUGUGUGUGUGUUUUGAAUACAUACAUAUAUUUUAAUAUAGCAUUUAUUGAAUUUUUGUCACAUGUACCAGAUGUGGAGAUCAACACUUUACAUGAAUUAUAAUGCUUAUAAUAACAGAUGGAAUAACGAAUUUGUCUUUUUAAAAGAUAAGUAAAUUGAGGUUGAGUUUGAAUUUGUGUAAUUCAUUCUAUUAUAUAGAAAUUAAAUAAACCUAGGAUGUCACAACCUUUGGAAGAUAUUAAAAAUACUUAUGAUUUGUUAAACCCAUUGAGCAAAAUCAUGUUUUGUGAAAGAAGCCACAUUUCAGAAGUCAUAUUCAUUCUCUUUUUGUCUUUAAGGCCAGAGACAUGAUUAAGUGUAGCUUCUCAGGACAGAAAGUGUAAGUGUUGGUAUAUUGUAGGAAUAGGAGAAAAACAUGAAUAGGAAAUUGUCUUUUGGAAAUUCUUACAGUAUAAAACUUUAAGGAGUUACUUCUAGAAAUAUGGGGUGCCUUUUCUCAGGAUGUGGAACAACAUGUUCCCGGGCAGAAACCACAUUAUACACAAAGCCCUGAGACAUCAUGGAGGCACAGAUGAAAGUCCAAAGAGAAAUGGCCAGUAGAAAGAGGAUCACUAAAUGAAAGAAGCUAACUUUGGAAUAGAGCUGGUGACAAGUAAUAUGAUGACUUAAAUACUGCCAAUAGCAGGGAAAAGGUCCAUGGUAAUAUCUGAGUGAAGAAACAAUUGCCAACUGAUCUAGAUUUGAAGGGCAUAACCUCUUGUUGGAAUAUUUUUCCAGUGUGAUUUAUGAUCAUAUGGUCUGGAUUCUACAAAAUCUCCCCCAUUCUACAAAAUCUAUAAUCAGUUCUCUUUUUCCGUUUUCUUCAUUCAUUCUAGCCCUUUUCUAAAGAUGGCGCUUUGUAUCUUGUGAAUGCAAUCCCUUAGCAGUUCUCAGCUAGUAGCUGAAACUUUGGUUAAAAUGGUAAGCAUGGGGGAUUGUGACAUAAAUUUUGCUUUGCUAUUUCAGUUAUUGAAAUAUUUUUAGAAUUUUGACUAUUUGUCAUGUAAGGAAUGCACAGUGCCAUACUAACUUUGUAUAUUCUGGUAUUUGGGGGGUGGAAAUUGACUAUAUGAGAUUCUUGCAGCUGGGUCUCUGACAUGUUGAGAAUGCUGAAGAAGAAAAAGUACAGAAGGAGAAAGCAGAGAUGGGGAAAGCUGCAUCCCUCAAAUAGGAUACCACUGGAUACUGAGCAGUGAACAACCUCUGGUUUUGUCGGACACCAUUUUGGAAUAUUUGGACACAGUUUCCUGAAGGAUGAGAGACCUAAUCAAUGGUAGUAAGAUGUUUAAAAUAUUAUUAAUAUGAAUGAAUGAAUGCUUAGGCAGGGUUGACGGUAAAGCUCUUCUGUACAAUAGGUAGCGUUAAUAAAGCAAUGACAAGAUUUGGAAAAUCAGUAUUUGGAAAUAAUCAUAAUUGUUUCAGCCAGGAAUCAUCAAAUGAUGCUAAAACUUGGAGAAAAUUUUAAGAGAAGCAGGACACUUAGUGUCCUUAUCAGUUACAAAGGGAAAGUAGUAGCUUCCUGAUGGAGAACAUGGUUGACAGCACCUGAAUUAAAGAGGUGAAAGUUAAUACCCCAGUAGUGGGAACAUCAAGCAGCACUGAUAGGAUGCACUGAGAAGAACACAGUCUCAUUUCUGUAGUAUUACUGACUAAAGUGCAUAAACCUGAGUCUACCCAUGAGGAAACAUCAGUCUCAAAUUGACUGAUAUUCUGCUUUUAGUAUUCAGACAUACUAAUUUCACUGAGGAAAUGGUCCAGAUUAUUUCAGACUAUAUAGACAUGAGAACAGAAUAUAACAUUGAUUCAGGAUGUCUAUAAAAGGAUAAGGAAAGUUGGCAAAAUUUGAAGACAGUCCCUCAAAUAGAUUAUAGUGUUACGUGAGUAUUAAUUGCCUAAGCUAUAUAAUUGCCUGAGGUUAUAUAACAGAAAAUUCUUGUUUUUAAGAAAUUAAAACAAUUUAAAGGAUAAAGGGAUAAUGUCAUGGCUGUAAUUUUCCAAGCGUUUGGAUAAAAUAAUAUACAUGUUUCAAAAAAAAUGAAACAGAUGUUGUAAGAUGUUAGCAAAUAGGGAAUCCAGGUGAAAAUUAUCCAGGAAUUAUGGAUAGUCUUGUAUCCGUUCAGCAGGUCUGAAAGUAGUUGAUGAAAAUAAUGCAAAAGGCUCUCUCCGGUCCGUGCCUCCAAAAUGACAAAGAAAAGAAGGAACAACGGUCGUGCCAAAAAGGGCCGCGGCCACGUGCAGCUUAUUCUCUGCACUAACUGUGCCUGAUGCGUGCCCAAGGACCAGGCCAUUAAGAAAUUUGUCAUUCGAAACAUAGUGGAGGCCGCAGCAGUCAGGGACAUUUCUGAAGCGAGCAUCUUCGAUGCCUAUGUGCUUCCCAAGCUGUAUGUGAAGCUACAUUACUGUGUGAGUGGUGCAAUUCACAGCAAAGUAGUCAGGAAUUGAUCUCGUGAAGCCCGCAAGGACCGAACACCCCCACCCCGAUUUAGACCUGCGGGUGCUGCCCUACGUCCCCCACCAAAGCCCAUGUAAGGAGCUGAGUUCUUAAAGACUGAAGACAGACUAUUCUGUGGAGAAAAAUAAAAUGGAAAUUGUACUUUAAAAAAAAAAUAAUGCAAAAGAACAUGUCAAAAAGAAAUGGUUUGAGCAUAUGGCUUCAAGCAUACAUAAAUGCUCAGGAAACAUGAAAAUGUGGAAUAAAUGGAUGAGUACCAUAAUACCAGCAGACCUUGUAGAUACCUGCAUUUGAAGCAUUUAUAUUAGAAGGAAGCCUUUUAACCCCAAAUUUUUUUCACUUAGCCUAAUGUUUCCAAGGUUUGGCCAUGUUGCAGCAUAUAUCAGAUCUCCGUGAUAUUCUGUUGUAUAAAUAUAUCACAUUUUGCUCAUCCACUCAUAGUUUUUGGCUAUUAUGACUAAUCCCACCAGGAAUAUUUAUGUGGAGAUUUUUAUGUGUUUAUGUUUUCAGUUCUCUUAUACAUGAGAAUAUAGUAACUGUGUUUAUUUGACAUUUUGAGGACCUGUCUGUAAGUGAUGUUUAAGAUAAUUUUUGCUACAUUUGAAGGCAGAUAAUAGUCUAUGCAAAAUGAAUAUUCUGUUGAAUAUUGAUGUGAACUAUUCUUAUUGUAAAAAAAAAAUUACAUUGAAACAUUAAGUAUAGAAGUUAGAUCUUGGUGGCGGGGCAUGGUGACUCAUGCCUGUAAUCCCAGCACUUUGGGAGGCCGAGG